UAGGGAAUCUUCCGCAAUGGGCGAAAGCCUGACGGAGCAACGCCGCGUGAGCGAUGAAGGUCUUCGGAUCGUAAAACUCUGUUAUUAGGGAAGAACAAAUGUGUAAGUAACUAUGCACGUCUUGACGGUACCUAAUCAGAAAGCCACGGCUAACUACGUGCCAGCAGCCGCGGUAAUACGUAGGUGGCAAGCGUUAUCCGGAAUUAUUGGGCGUAAAGCGCGCGUAGGCGGUUUUUUAAGUCUGAUGUGAAAGCCCACGGCUCAACCGUGGAGGGUCAUUGGAAACUGGAAAACUUGAGUGCAGAAGAGAAAAGUGGAAUUCCAUGUGUAGCGGUGAAAUGCGCAGAGAUAUGGAGGAACACCAGUGGCGAAGGCGACUUUCUGGUCUGUAACUGACGCUGAUGUGAGAAAGCGUGGGGAUCAAACAGG
rnacentral:rRNA from 1 species